rnacentral:rRNA from 1 species
AGGGUUUGAUCAUGGCUCAGGACGAACGCUGGCGGUGUGCCUCACACAUGCAAGUCGAACGGGGUAGCAAUACCCAGUGGCGGACGGGUGAGUAACACGUAGGAAUCUGCCUUCAGAUGGGGGAUAACCGGCCGAAAGGCCAGCUAAUACCGCAUAUGCCGCAAGGUGAAAGGAGUAAUCCGUCUGAAGAUGAGCCUGCGUCUGAUUAGCUAGUUGGUAGGGUAAAGGCCUACCAAGGCUACGAUCAGUAGCUGGUCUGAGAGGAUGAUCAGCCACAAUGGAACUGAGACACGGUCCAUACUCCUACGGGAGGCAGCAGUGGGGAAUUUUACACAAUGGGCGAAAGCCUGAUGUAGCGACACCGCGUGAGUGAAGAAGCCUUUUGGGGUGUAAAACUCUGUCAGCAGGGACGAAAUCAAUGACGGUACCUGCAGAGGAAGCAUCGGCUAACUACGUGCCAGCAGCCGCGGUAAGACGUAGGAUGCGAGCGUUGUCCGGAUUUAUUGGGCGUAAAGAGUUCGUAGGUGGUUUGUUAAGUCUGAUGUUAAAGACUGGGGCUCAACCUCGGAAGUGCAUUGGAUACUGGCAGACUCGAGUGCAGUAGAGGCAAGCGGAAUUCCAGGUGUAGCGGUGAAAUGCGUAGAUAUCUGGAAGAACACCGGUGGCGCAAGCGGCUUGCUGGGCUGUAACUGACACUGAGGAACGAAAGCUAGGGUAGCGAAUGGGAUUAGAUACCCCAGUAGUCCUAGCCGUAAACGAUGGAUACUAGGCGUAUCGGGUAUCGACCCCUGAUGU